UACGGAGGAUCCAAGCGUUAUCCGGAUUCAUUGGGUUUAAAGGGGGCGCAGGCGGGUAAAUAAGUCAGAGGUGAAAUCCUACAGCUCAACUGUAGAACUGCCUUUGAUACUGUUUGCCUAGAGUAUAAUUGAAGUGGGCGGAAUGUAGCAUGUAGCGGUGAAAUGCUUAGAUAUGCUACAGAACACCGAUUGCGAAGGCAGCUCACUAAGCUAAAACUGACGCUCAUGCACGAAAGCGUGGGGAUCAAACAGGAUUAGAUACCCUGGUAGUCCACGCCGUAAACGAUGAUUACUCGAUGUUGGCGAUACACAGUCAGCGUCUGAGCGAAAGCAUUAAGUAAUCCACCUGGGGAGUACGAUCGCAAGAUUGAA
rnacentral:rRNA from 1 species